CCGGCCCACUUCUUCGCCUCCUACUACCUCCCCAGUUCCCACAGUGCCCGAUGCUCCAAAAAAAAAAGAAGGUUCCCACAGUGCCGCCGAUUGUGAAAUCCAAUCUCAGGCCUUCCGCUAUUCCCCUGCGGAGGCGGAAGAGGCACUGCAGCGAGCGGCCGAGGAACUGCUUGCUGGCGGCGGGCGGUCAGGGUUAGUAUAUACAUUAAUCUUACCAUCGUCGGAGUCAGUGGUGAGAUUCUCCAUUCGAACAAGCGAGUACACCUCCAACGCGUUGAUGAGCGGCGGAAGACGCGACCUGGCCGUCUUAUUCAAGGAGAAGUACGCGUAAGUAUUUUUCAGGAACUGCCCACCCUUGUACAUGCUGUCCACCUGGAAUCGCGACGGGGAGAAGUCUCGAAACAACAUAUCUUGGGCGCUGUAGAUGUCAAACCUCCUGUUCGGGUUGCUUCCGUUGAUCUCGGCGAAGUGAAAGAUCGGGAGAAGCUGUAGGCUCUUGGCAUCUAGAUUAGGACCCUGUGCCACGUCAAUGGCCAUGAAGGAGUAGUUCGUGUCUAGGGUUGAGGCUUUCUGCAUGAUGGCCAACGGAACGUUGAAAUCGUCAUUGCCAGGGAGGCUCUGCACUGUCCUGCUAGUGUUCAGGUUGAUCCAGGGGUAUGUCGUGUAGCUCCAGCUCUGCCAGAAGCGGUCGUAGUUGUCCGUUGGAUAUCUUCAUUGCACACAAAGACAAGGAAAAUUAGAUAAAUGGCUAGCAUAGUACACUAAUCUUUUGGUAUUUACUUAAAUGCACUUGAUAUGUUGUAUAGCAAUCCCAACUUCUUAGCGCCUUGAGAUUUACUUAUAGUUUUCUUUAGAAGCAAUUGCAGGAUUCAGAAAACAAAGUAGCAAACACUCUUAAAUGCAUUAAGCUAGCGAACUGAAUUUAGAACCAUUGACGGGCAUAAUUCAGAUCUAAUCCAGAACUAUUAUGGAUGGCAGCCUUGUCUCACCUUGUGAUAAAGUCAGCCACGUUGCCAAAUCUGUACCGUUGAAAGUAGCUGACGGACACAGAAGUAUUGACAAAAGGGUACAUCGUAUCUUGUAGUGGCCUCAGCUCCAAUGAAGAUAUGAAGGGAGUCCCUGAACCGAAGUUUAUCAGGCAGACAGACACGAAGUUGCUCGGAGCAAUGGUGAUCACCUCCUUCCAUACCGUGGAUGAUGGAUCCCAAUUUGACAAGUUCACCGCCUCCCAGAAAUUGACACCGAUAUGGAGCCCAAACAGAAACAGCGACCCAUCCAGAGUCUUGUUCAACUUAUCAUAGUUUCCAUGGAGCAGAGCUUAAAAAGGCGCAGGAUCUAGAAGGGAAAAGCUAGGAGGAUAUGACAUGCGUUACCUGGAGGAGGCUGUGCUCGGACUUGAAUCAUCAUGACCAGGACAAGAAGCAGAGCAAAGGUCCAUGUUAGCUUUGUACUGAAGCUGAUCACCAUCUGGUGUUAUUUGGUGCUUGCGAUGUCUGAAGCAAGAAACAGACGACUUGUGCAGUUAUAUAGCAGAGGAUGACAACAACCACGGUUUAGUAAUGGGUAUUUUGUUAGUGUUUUGGUUGACACAGACUCGGCACUGGAUUAACAAUGCAGAUAAGAAAAAACCGUUUUGCUCA